rnacentral:rRNA from 1 species
ACGGGAGGCAGCAGUAGGGAAUUUUUCACAAUGGGCGAAAGCCUGAUGGAGCAAUCCUGCGUGGAUGAUGAAGGCCCUUUGGGUCGUAAAAUCCUUUUAUAAGGGACGAAUGGCAUAACUAGGAAAUGAGUUAUGAAUGACUGUACCUUUUGAAUAAGUAACGGCUAACUAUGUGCCAGCAGCCGCGGUAAUACAUAGGUUACAAGCGUUAUCCGGAUUUACUGGGCGUAAAGCGAGCGCAGAUGGAUCAACAAGUCUGGUGUUAAAUAUCAAUGCUCAACGUUGGUAUGCAUUGGAAACUGUAGGUCUAGAGUUUGAUAGGAAGUUUUAGAACUCCAUGUGGAGCGGUGGAAUGCGCAGAUAUAUGGAAGAAUACCGGUGGUGAAAACGAAAACUUAGGUCAUAACUGACAUUUAGGCUCGAAAGUGUGGGGAGCAAAUAGGAUUAGAUACCCUGGUA